rnacentral:rRNA from 1 species
GAUGAACGCUGGCGGCGUGCCUAAUACAUGCAAGUCGAGCGAACGGACGAGAAGCUUGCUUCUCUGAUGUUAGCGGCGGACGGGUGAGUAACACGUGGAUAACCUACCUAUAAGACUGGGAUAACUUCGGGAAACCGGAGCUAAUACCGGAUGAUAUUUUGAACCGCAUGGUUCAAAAGUGAAAGACGGUCUUGCUGUCACUUAUAGGUGGAUCCGCGCUGCAUUAGCUAGUUGGUAAGGUAACGGCUUACCAAGGCAACGAUGCAUAGCCGACCUGAGAGGGUGAUCGGCCACACUGGAACUGAGACACGGUCCAGACUCCUACGGGAGGCAGCAGUAGGGAAUCUUCCGCAAUGGGCGAAAGCCUGACGGAGCAACGCCGCGUGAGUGAUGAAGGUCUUCGGAUCGUAAAACUCUGUUAUUAGGGAAGAACAUAUGUGUAAGUAACUGAGCACAUCUUGACGGUACCUAAUCAGAAAGCCACGGCUAACUACGUG